rnacentral:lncRNA from 1 species
AACAUCGCUGGCUUUAAAGAUGCAUGAUGGAGGCCAGGAAUGCUGGCGUCCUCUGGAAGGCAAGAAAACGGGAAAGGGUCUUAGGAGAGUUGGACACAUUCAAAACACAAUAUGUGAUUAAGAAGAUUAAAGAUUAAUACUUAUUGAUGGAUUACUAUGUGCCAAACUUCCAACCGAAUCCUGACAACAAUUCCUUAAGAUGUGGAAACUGCAGUUCACUGAGGUUGACAUUUCCGGGUUCAUACAACAAGGAUGGGGUAAGCUGUGAUAUCAUCUGAUCUU